GAUGAACGCUGGCGGCGUGCCUAAUACAUGCAAGUCGAGCGAACAGACGAGGAGCUUGCUCCUCUGACGUUAGCGGCGGACGGGUGAGUAACACGUGGAUAACCUACCUAUAAGACUGGGAUAACUUCGGGAAACCGGAGCUAAUACCGGAUAAUAUAUUGAACCGCAUGGUUCAAUAGUGAAAGACGGUUUUGCUGUCACUUAUAGAUGGAUCCGCGCCGGAUUAGCUAGUUGGUAAGGUAACGGCUUACCAAGGCGACGAUGCGUAGCCGACCUGAGAGGGUGAUCGGCCACACUGGAACUGAGACACGGUCCAGACUCCUACGGGAGGCAGCAGUAGGGAAUAUUCCACAAUGGGCGAAAGCCUGACGGAGCAACGCCGCGUGAGUGAUGAAGGUCUUCGGAUCGUAAAACUCUGUUAUUAGGGAAGAACAAAUGUGUAAGUAACUAUGCACGUCUUGACGGUACCUAAUCAGAAAGCAACGGCUAACUACGUG
rnacentral:rRNA from 1 species